UGGGGCUCACAACAAUACAGGCAGCCACUCCAAUUUGCCAGGACAUUGAGAUGAAUUCAUGCAGAGGAGAACCUGAGUCCUUGAUUGGCUUCUCAAACAAAGGAAGAAUAAAGUGGCUUGGCUCUGUGAGGAAUUGAACCUUCCACACAGACAGGAGCUCAUUUGGAGGCAAGAGCUGCUCUGCAUGUGUGGCCAGCAUCUCUGGGAGGGCUGGGUCCCUCCAUUUUUGUUAGAGGGUCCCACAGCAGCCUUGGUGUUCUCCUGCAUGUCCAAGCUGUGGCAACAGAAUGUCCCGCAGACGCUGCCUCUCAGCACCCAUAUCAUAUCCCUAGCAUUCUCCAGUGUUCAUUGUGAGGACAAACCUGCAUAUCACUUUUCUGUACUAGGGGCUAAGAAUCUAAAUUCAGGGAACUUUCAUUAUCUGUGGGCAAAUCACAGUCUGUCUGGGCCACCAGCAUCUAACUGAGGUAGAAGACCAGCAGGACUUAUUUCCCCAUCCUGACAGGAUGAAGUAAAAAACCAGCAGGAACCAGCAAGUAGUGAAGAAGGCAACCUCUAGUCACUGUCACUGCUCAUUAGCAUAAGACGCUCCCACCAGCACCAGGACAGUUUGCAAAUGCCAUGGCAACAAUCUGGAAGUUACCAUCUCUUUUCAUGAAAAUGACCUGGAACUCACCACGCCUUUCCUAGAAACUUAUGAAUAACUCACCCUGCAAUUUGCAUUAACCUGCCCCCGAAUUUGGAUGUAAUUACAGGUGAGUAUAUAUACAGUUGCCAAGAACCCAUGCACUGCUGACUCUGAGCACAUGGCCCAUGAGUUAGCCCUGCUCCCCAAGGAGCAGUACCCUUUAAUAAAAGAUUAUUUCUGGGCCGGGAG
rnacentral:lncRNA from 10 species